rnacentral:rRNA from 1 species
UACGACUACAUAUCAGGCAUAUCAAUAAGCGGAGGAAAAGAAACUAACAAGGAUUCCCUUAGUAACGGCGAGUGAAGCGGGAAGAGCUCAAAUUUGAAAUCUUCAAGGUUCUACCUUGACGAAUUGUAGUUUAAAGAAGUGUUUUCUGUUAGAUGAGUAGCAAAAGUUCCUUGGAAUGGGACAUCAUAGAGGGUGAGAAUCCCGUAUUUGGUUAUUCAUUCUAGCUUUGUGAUACACUUUCAAAGAGUCGGAUUGUUUGGGAAUGCAGUCCAAAAUGGGUGGUAAAUUUCAUCUAAAGCUAAAUAUUGGCGAGAGACCGAUAGCGAACAAGUACCGUGAGGGAAAGAUGAAAAGAACUUUGAAAAGAGAGUUAAACAGUACGUGAAAUUGUCAAAAGGGAAGCGUUUGACACCAGUGUUGUUUUUCCGAAAAUCAAUUACGAAUGGCUUGAUUUUGUGUUGUAUUGACCUUAUCAGCUUUCUUCACUUUUUUCGAGUCUUUCUUAAUGCACUUUUCGGUUAACAAGUCAACAUCAAUUUCUUUUGUUGUAAAAGAGUAUUCGGAAGGUGGCUUUGCUUUUCGGAGAAAGUGUUUAUAGCCCUAUACUUCUACAAUCGGAGAGAUUGAGGUCUGCAGCGUAGAUCCUUCGGGGUUAGAUACACUUGUGCUAAGUUGUAGCUUUUCAUAGACAACUUGUUGACUAUGUUUAGUCAUGCGGCUUACUCGCUUGUGCUAUUUUACCUACGCUUAGGAUGUUGAGUAGCGACAUACGCAC